rnacentral:rRNA from 1 species
GACGACCGCUGGCGGCGUGCCUAAUACAUGCAAGUCGAACGCAGUGGGGCCGGGUGAGUAACACGUGGGUCACCUCCCAUCAGAGGGGAUAACACUUGGAAACAGGUGCUAAAAAGAUACUGAUGGAUGGACCCGCAGUGCAUUAGCUAGUUGGUGAGGUAACGGCUCACAAAGGCCACGAUGCAUAGCCGAACUGAUAGGUUGGUCGGCCACACUGGGACGGAGAAACGGCCCAGACUCGUACGGAAGGCAGCAGUAGGGAAUCUUCGGCAAUGGACGAAAGUCUUACCGAGCAACGCCGCGUGAGUGAAGAAGGUUUUCGGAUCGUAAAACUCUGUUGUUAGAGAAGCGGUAUCUAACCAGAAAGCCACGGCUAACUACGUGCCAGCAGCCGCGGUAAUAC